ensembl:snRNA U6 U6 spliceosomal RNA
GUGCUUGCUUCGGCAGCACAUACACUAAAAAUUGGAACGAUACAGAGAAGAUUAGCGUGACCCCUGCGCAAGGAUGACACACAAAUUCGUGAAGCAUUCCAUAUUUUU